GAUGAAGAACGUAGCAAAAUGCGAUAAGUAAUGCGAAUUGCAGAAUUUCCGUGAGUCAUCGAAUCUUUGAACGCACAUUGCGCCCACUGGUAUUCCGGUGGGCAUGCCUGUUCGAGCGUCAUUAUCCUCCCUCAAACCUCGGGUUUGGUGUUGGACCCAAGUUGUGUGAACAACUGGUCUUAAAGACAAUGACGGCGUCCGUGGGACCCUCGGUGCAACGAGCUUUUAGGAGCACGCGUCGAGUUUCAAGGACCUUCCGGGCCGGUCUCCUUUACCAUUUUACAAGGUUGACCUCGGAUCAGGUAGGAAUACCCGCUGAACUUAAGCAUAUCAAUAAGCGGAGGA
rnacentral:misc_RNA from 1 species